rnacentral:rRNA from 1 species
UACGGAGGAUUCGAGCGUUAUCCGGAUUUAUUGGGUUUAAAGGGUGCGUAGGCGGUCGGAUAAGUUAGAGGUGAAAUCCCGGGGCUCAACUUCGGAAUUGCCUCUGAUACUGUUCGGCUAGAGAGUAGUUGCGGUAGGCGGAAUGUAUGGUGUAGCGGUGAAAUGCUUGGAGAUCAUACAGAACACCGAUUGCGAAGGCAGCUUACCAAGCUACUUCUGACGUUGAGGCACGAAAGCGUGGGGAGCAAACAGG